rnacentral:rRNA from 1 species
UGGGGAAUUUUGGACAAUGGGCGCAAGCCUGAUCCAGCCAUUCCGCGUGCAGGAUGAAGGCCCUCGGGUUGUAAACUGCUUUUGUACGGAACGAAACGCGCUGAGCUAAUACCUCGGCGUAAUGACGGUACCGUAAGAAUAAGCACCGGCUAACUACGUGCCAGCAGCCGCGGUAAUACGUAGGGUGCGAGCGUUAAUCGGAAUUACUGGGCGUAAAGCGUGCGCAGGCGGUUAUGUAAGACAGAUGUGAAAUCCCAGGGCUCAACCUUGGAACUGCAUUUGUGACUGCAUAGCUAGAGUACGGUAGAGGGGGAUGGAAUUCCGCGUGUAGCAGUGAAAUGCGUAGAUAUGCGGAGGAACACCGAUGGCGAAGGCAAUCCCCUGGACCUGUACUGACGCUCAUGCACGAAAGCGUGGGGAGCAAACAGGAUUAGAUACCCCCGUAGUCC